rnacentral:tRNA from 1 species
GCGGGAAUAGCUCAGUGGUAGAGCAUCACCUUGCCGAGGUGAGGGUCGCGGGUUCGAAUCCCGUUUCCCGCUCCA